AGAGUUUGAUCAUGGCUCAGAAUGAACGCUGGCGGCGUGCCUAACACAUGCAAGUCGAACGAGAAAGGGGCCUUCGGGUCCUGAGUAAAGUGGCGAACGGGUGAGUAACGCGUGGGUAACCUGUCCUCGAGUGAGGAAUAACUUGGCGAAAGCUGAGCUAAUACCGCAUGACAUCCCAGGGUCUUCGGGUCCAGGGAUCAAAGGUAGCGAGCUUCGAGCGCUGCCGCUUGAGGGGGGGCCUGCGUCCCAUUAGCUUGUUGGUGAGGUAACGGCUCACCAAGGCUCCGAUGGGUAGCCGAGCUGAGAGGCUGACCGGCCACACUGGAACUGAGACACGGUCCAGACUCCUACGGGAGGCAGCAGUGGGGAAUUUUGCGCAA
rnacentral:rRNA from 1 species